UUAUCCCUUACACAAUUCUGAGUUAACGAGAAGAACCUACGCUGCUAGCAAGCUCCCCCGAGGCUUUGGCAGCCAACAGAGACAUGGCGUCCAGCUUCAUCUCAAAGCCUUUCCCCUUUGUCUUCUGCCAGCCUUCUUUGUACUUCACCUGACAAACAAACACAAACACAGGGUCGUACAGCUCCAACAAGUCCAGCAUGACUUCUGGGUCGGGGUCUGUCUCAUAUCAAAACCCACAGCAACAAACACUGGGAGAGAUUCAUACUAAGAUAUUUACAGAUGAAGCUAGGUAGCAUCUUGGAUUUUCUUCACAAUAAGAGAGAAGGGGGAGGUCAGAGGGCAAGCACAUGUGCCAGGGUGGGCUGUGAGCUGAUAGUUAUUGAAGCCAGUACCCGGGCUUCAAUAUGCUCUGCUUCUGUAUACGCUGACAUCCUCCACAAUAAAACGUUUG
rnacentral:lncRNA from 1 species